CACGUAGGGCGCAAGCGUUGUCCGGAAUUAUUGGGCGAAAGAGCUCGUAGGCGGUUCGUUAAGUCUGUUGUGAAAGCCCCGGGCUCAACCUGGGAAUGGCAAUGGAUACUGGCGAGCUAGAGUGUGUCAGAGGAUGGUGGAAUUCCCGGUGUAGCGGUGAAAUGCGCAGAUAUUGGGAGGAACACCAGCGGCGAAGGCGGCACUCUGGGCUGGUACUGACGCUGAGGAGCGAAAGCGUGGGUAGCGAACAGG
rnacentral:rRNA from 1 species